ACUUCCCCUCUCGGUUGACACCCCCUCUCUCUCUUCCUCUUUCUCUCUCUCAUUUUUCCUUCACAAGAUCGAAAUGGGGAGUGAACCCUAGGUCGGGAGUCCCCAAUCGGAUUCCGUCGCCCAUUCUUCUCCCCGCAUCGGCGCAUCACCAUGGUCAACGCCCAAACGCCGGCGGAGUUUUACCUCUUUGAGCUCUCUCCCUCUCUGGCUCGCUACAACGGCGCUGAGCUAUGUCACCGUCGCUGUUGGCCCUCCGUCUCCAGCCAAUCGACGGGCUGCCGCCGUCGAAGUCCCGUGGAGAGCCAUCCCAGCUUCGCGAGGCUUCCGCCGUCGCUGUCGCUCGCCGAGCUCACGCCGCCGUCGCUGUUGCUUUUGGCUACCUCCGCGGUCUCGCGGGUCUUCCCCUAGUGACGAGCCGCCCCCGAUUCCGGCUAUCCGUGAUUUCUCGGGUUCUAAACGAGGAGGUUUUAAGCCUGUUACCGUUGUAGGUGAGGGGUUGUCCAUCUUCUUCUAAAGUAAAAGGGAAGACUUAUGCAAAUUUAUGAUUUACGUUUCUAUUUUUAUAAAUUUCUACAUGAUGUUGUGGUACAUGCUUGAGUGUGAGGUAGGAAAGAAAGGAAAAAGAAGAAAGGGGUUACCUUCUUCCACUGCCCUUGAUCUCCGCUCUUAGCCUCGGUCUCCCUCACACUCUAACUCACUGAUUUGCUGACUGGAAUUGUUGUGUGGAAGAGAAUGAAAUCGAGGCAUGGGACAUUUAUAGAAGGGCUGUAACUGAAAGCUGCAAGAGUUUGUUUUAGUUGCAGCUAAAGAGAGUGCAGGGGAAAAGGGUUUUUGUCUCGACUGAGUAUUGGCUGUUCUCCUGCCCCUUUUUUCAGGACUAGUACUUGUGAAAUAAUUGCAAAUUUCUGAUUCUGUUAUGCUACUUACUGCAGUAGCCUUACUUGCUCAGUCCCUUGCAGCCUUUAAUUUGGUUUUGGUGUACAUUGCAGGUGCACCAGGUUGCAGAGGUUGUUGGCUAUGAUCAGCCGGUUGUUGCAGCCGGGAGACUGCUUUAUUGGGCUCGUGGCAGCCUUUGCUCAGGCUGGGGUGUGCAGAGUACAGCUGCCGCGGCUGCCCCAUUUUGGCUUUGGAGAGAAUUAUCCACUAUGCGGGCUCGUAGUUCUCGGCCCAAUGGUGUGUAUCUGGCAGAGACAAGGAGGCUGAUUUCCCCCCAGUCUGUUAUCUCAUCGGUUCGGCCCCGCGGGCCGUCGGAACACUGGGCCGACGUCUAGGCUAAGGGGGAGGCCCAAUUGCUAACUUUCUUUCUUCAACAUGUAAUAGCUAGUUGAUGUGUAUUUUUUUUUUGCUCAAGAAUAUAAACGAAUGCUCUUUCAUUCUCGUUCUUUAAAUUCUAGUCUCUAUUUCAUAAA